rnacentral:lncRNA from 1 species
AUGGACUUGGGGCCCCAGGGUCAUUGCAGCGGGGCGGCGCUGCAAAGGAGGGGAAGCUGCAGCUGGGGCGGUGCGGCAGAAGGGGGGGGCUGCAGCUGGGGCGGUGCUGCAGAAGAGGGGGGGCUGCAGCUGGGCCGGCGCUGCAGAGGGAUGGGGGCUGCAGCUGGGGUGGUGCUGCAGGAGAGGGGGGGGCUGCAGCUGGGGCGGCGCUGCAGAGGGAUGGGGGAUGCAGCUGGGGUGGUGCUGCGGGGGGGGGUUACAGCGAAGGGGGAGUUGCAGCUGGGGGGUUACAGAGGAGGGGGGAUGCAGCGCGGGCAGAGCUGCAGAGGGGGGGGGGGCCCCGGCCGGCAGCGCUCGCAGACAAGGGGGGGCGGGGUCCAGCUUCCCCGCAGCGCCCUCUCAGACUCCCCGCACCCCCGGGCCUUAGACAUCCAUCCCGGACCACCGGCCGAAACGAUGCCCCAGCGAGCUCCUUCUGCAUCCAGCAAACUCUGCCCCAGGCCCGGCGCCUCUGAGGGGCCCGGUGGCGCUGCCGCGGGGGCAGGGGCGGAGGGCAGGGCGGGAGCGGUCAAGGGCACGGCUGCGCCCUAGGCCCCGGCUGCAGCAGCCCCAGAACGGCGGAGGAGUAGCGGAAAGAGGGGCAGGAGGGGCCGCCGCCCUCCGGCCCCCGGACGCGGGAAUCCUCCGGCCCCCGGAGCAGGCGCGGCAGCACGGUCUGGUCCUGUCCGGUCCGGGGCAGCAGCUGGACACUGGCGUGGACCUCGGCUGGGCUCCGCCCGGGAAGGCCGGCCGCCGCCCCGGCAGCGCCCCGGGCCGCAGCCCGGAGCUGGGGGCGGCGGCCGACUCCGACAACGAUGGCGACUGCUCUGGCUCUGGGUGGAGGCUGCGGAGAAAAAGACUGCGGUGGAAGCGGGAGGGGCGCGUCAUGUGACCUCUUAAAGGGGCAGGCCUAAUCUGCUCCCGUAAUCUACUUUCUCUGGGCUGCUCGGCGC